rnacentral:rRNA from 1 species
UACGUAGGGACCAAGCGUUGUUCGGAAUUACUGGGCGUAAAGGGUUUGUAGGUGGCUUGUUAAGUCAGACGUGAAAUCCCUCAGCUUAACUGGGGAACUGCGUCUGAUACUGGAUGGCUUGAGUUUGGGAGAGGGACGCGGAAUUCCAGGUGUAGCGGUGAAAUGCGUAGAUAUCUGGAGGAACACCGGUGGCGAAGGCGGCAUCCUGGACCAAUAUUGACGCUGAGGAGCGAAAGCCAGGGAGCAAACGGG